UUAUUGUUGUAUCUUGUGUUGAUCAAGGUUCAUUUUGGUUUAUCUCUACAUUUAUAAAAUUACAAAACAAAAAGUAUGUCAAAAAUUAGCUAAUGUAAUCGAACUCCAUCUUCACAAAAUCGCAAAUAAGUGAAAUCAUACCCUAAAAACAUGUGCGAUGAAACUCCUAAAAUUGGCAAACAUGAACUUAACCCUCAUCUUACCCACUAAUCACUAAUCAUAACACAAAAUUGAAAAAAACCUAAAUUUUUUUCUCUGAAUUGCAAUCGGUAAUCAUAACUCAAAAUGGAAAAAGACUCAAGUGGGAAACAUGAACUUGAAAUUAGAACCUGCGUAAGAGUUUUUUUUGAUCAAUUUUGUCUUCUGGUGUUGCUUCUGAAGUUCACUUUUGAGGGUUAUAGAUUCAGAAUCACUGAGAGACGAUGAUUGAGGAAGCACCAAAGCAGAGAACAGCCCUCGUAAGUUACUUGGAGCGACCGGAGGAGCCUGUCCCGGUUUGAAAAAAAAAAAAAAAAAAAAAAAAAAAAAAAUAGGUAAAUUACGCCAUCGCUCUUAUUUUCAAAAAUUAACUCAUACCGUCCUUCAUUUAGUUUAAACUUACACGUUUCAUCCUUGAAAUACGAUUUUGUUGCGGUUUUAGUCUAUGUCAGAUGUGAAAUGACCAAACUAUCCUUGUAUAUUCUAAUCUAAUAUUAUUUAUUAUUAUUAUUAUUUAUAAUUUUAAAAAGGAAAUGGGCCCACUCCCACCCACCAUCUACCCUAACCUCACCCCACCAUGAAGACGUUUGAAAUUCCACUUCCACCACCGUGAAAACCUUUCCUUCUUUCUCUCUUCUUCUUUCGUCUGUGCAGAAUAAUCGGUGAGGUCAUCUUCUGCCGGCAACAUCAUCUUCCUCCGACGAGCUUCAAAUGUGGUCGAUUUGGCCGAUGUUGUUGAAUUCGAAGAUUUGACCACAAAAGAAGCCUCAUAUAGUAACGGUAUGGUGUUUGAGUUCACCGGUGGUAGAAUUUCAGAAAACACCACCGCUCUGAACGCUAAAACCCCUCGCCAAUUUGCACCUUAGAAGUUAUCAUCGACCGCCAACCAUGAAGUCGGAUCCUAAAUCAGAAGUCGCCCCUGAUUUUGCUAUGUCACUGUGACUUGUCAAACCCUCAAGAAAAGAAAACGCCAUAAAAUUAAACAAUGAAGAUGAAAGCACAAAAACAUAGUCCAAUUUAAGUUUAUGUAAACAGAUCGAUUGGAGAGAUGUACUAGUAUUAUUGGCGUGGGAAGCUUGGGUAUUAUUAUUGAGUGUACAUAGAUCUGACAAGGAAACAACUUGGAGGUGUUAAGAGGGAAAUUGUGGAGCGUGUUCUAAAAGGAAAGCAAGGUGAGACAGUAAUGACGGAGUCGGCACAUGCGAGAAGAAGAUGACGGAGUCGGCACAGCUCAAGGCGGCGGUGAAGAUGGAGUUGACGCUACUUCGUUGUUGGUUAUAAGAACAACAGUUAUAGCGAGUGAGAUGGUGAUGAUUGAGGAAACAUAUUAGGUCGGCCAGAGAACUUUAAAGGGAUCAUCGUUUUCUGAUUGGGUGUGGUUAUGGUGGUUGAAGCUCAAAAUUGAAGAACACAUUUAAGAUCGNNN
rnacentral:lncRNA from 1 species